rnacentral:rRNA from 1 species
GACGAACGCUGGCGGUGCGCCUAAUACAUGCAAGUAGAACGCUGAAGGAGGAGCUUGCUCUUCUGGAUGAGUUGCGAACGGGUGAGUAACGCGUAGGUAACCUGCCUGGUAGCGGGGGAUAACUAUUGGAAACGAUAGCUAAUACCGCAUAAGAGUAGAUGUUGCAUGACAUUUACUUAAAAGGUGCAAUUGCAUCACUACCAGAUGGACCUGCGUUGUAUUAGCUAGUUGGUGGGGUAACGGCUUACCAAGGCGACGAUACAUAGCCGACCUGAGAGGGUGAUCGGCCACACUGGGACUGAGACACGGCCCAGACUCCUACGGGAGGCAGCAGUAGGGAAUCUUCGGCAAUGGACGGAAGUCUGACCGAGCAACGCCGCGUGAGUGAAGAAGGUUUUCGGAUCGUAAAGCUCUGUUGUAAGAGAAGAACGAGUGUGAGAGUGGAAAGUUCACACUGUGACGGUAUCUUACCAGAAAGGGACGGCUAACUACGUG